rnacentral:rRNA from 1 species
GGGGGCCCGCACAAGCGGUGGAGCAUGUGGUUUAAUUCGAUGCAACGCGAAGAACCUUACCUGGUCUUGACAUCCACGGAAGUUUUCAGAGAUGAGAAUGUGCCUUCGGGAACCGUGAGACAGGUGCUGCAUGGCUGUCGUCAGCUCGUGUUGUGAAAUGUUGGGUUAAGUCCCGCAACGAGCGCAACCCUUAUCCUUUGUUGCCAGCGGUCCGGCCGGGAACUCAAAGGAGACUGCCAGUGAUAAACUGGAGGAAGGUGGGGAUGACGUCAAGUCAUCAUGGCCCUUACGACCAGGGCUACACACGUGCUACAAUGGCGCAUACAAAGAGAAGCGACCUCGCGAGAGCAAGCGGACCUCAUAAAGUGCGUCGUAGUCCGGAUUGGAGUCUGCAACUCGACUCCAUGAAGUCGGAAUCGCUAGUAAUCGUGGAUCAGANUGCCACGGUGAAUACGUUCCCGGGCCUUGUACA